GGACAAUAGACCUCUCGAUGUUUAGAUAGAGAACAAUAGUCUCUUUAGACAGUGCUUCACUCUCUCCCCUGGUUGGCCUUUUAUGUGAAUAUUCCUAAACCCUCACUGUGGGAAAAAAGAGUGACAGACUCGAACAAUCUCUGCCACUCUGCAUUCAACUGUUUGUUUAGAAAUAUUACAAACAAACUGGACAAAGAUUACAGUGGUCCAUCUCAGUUUUUCAAAUACUGAGAAGCUGAAUGUAAGGACACUGCAGAGUAUCAGAGACUAUUUAGCAGAGACGGGCCACUUCUAUUAAAAUGAAUGGGAGAAACUGAAACGCCCAACAGUCGGACUGUAGAAAGGAAGUCCCUGCUUACAGUAUUGUUCAAAAUGGCGCGUGGCUCCUUCAAGACUUAUGUUCCGGUUCCGGUUGCUCUCCUUCAGUUCGCGGUAAGCGCGACUGAAGAGAGGCUGGUGUUCCAGUUGUGAGAGAAGGCCACAGAUUCGAGCUUAUUUUGAUUAAUUUGUCUCUUUAUUCAUGCAGAAUAAAAUCUGGCCUGAGUAAUUCCUGUUGCCCGGUCUUGUUCAUUUAUCCACACAAC